CCUACGGGUGGCUGCAGUCGAGAAUCUUCGUCAAUGGGCGAAAGCCUGAACGAGCGACGCCGCGUGCGGGAUGAAGGCCUUUGGGUUGUAAACCGCUGUCGAGGGGGAUGAAGGCGUUCCGGUCCUCCGGAACGUUUGACAGAGCCCUGGAGGAAGCACGGGCUAAGUUCGUGCCAGCAGCCGCGGUAAUACGAACUGUGCGAACGUUAUUCGGAAUCACUGGGCUUACAGGGUGCGUAGGCGGCUACUCAAGUCAGGUGUGAAAGCCCCCGGCUCAACCGGGGAACUGCGCUUGAAACUGGGUGGCUCGAGUCAGCUAGAGGUGCACGGAACUUCCAGUGGAGCGGUGAAAUGUGUUGAUAUUGGAAGGAACACCAGAGGCGUAAGCGGUGCACUGGGGCUGGUCUGACGCUGAGGCACGAAAGCCAGGGUAGCGAACG
rnacentral:rRNA from 1 species